GAUCCUGGCUCGGGAUGAACGCUAGCUACAGGCUUAACACAUGCAAGUCGAGGGGCAGCGGGAAGUCAGCUUGCUGACUUUGCCGGCGACCGGCGCACGGGUGAGUAACACGUAUCCAACCUUCCCGUUACUCUGGAAUAGCCUUUCGAAAGAAAGAUUAAUACCGGAUAGUAUCGAGAGAUUGCAUGAUUACCCGAUUAAAGAUUCAUCGGUAACGGAUGGGGAUGCGUUCCAUUAGGCAGUUGGCGGGG
rnacentral:rRNA from 1 species